rnacentral:rRNA from 1 species
CCUACGGUGGCUGCAGUGGGGAAUAUUGGACAAUGGGCGAAAGCCUGAUCCAGCCAUGCCGCGUGUGUGAAGAAGGCCUUCGGGUUGUAAAGCACUUUCAGUGGGGAAGAAAGCCUUGGGGCUAAUACCCUCGAGGAAGGACAUCACCCACAGAAGAAGCACCGGCUAACUCCGUGCCAGAAGCCGCGGUAAUACGGAGGGUGCGAGCGUUAAUCGGAAUUACUGGGCGUAAAGCGCGCGUAGGCGGUCUGAUAAGCCGGUUGUGAAAGCCCCGGGCUCAACCUGGGAACGGCAUCCGGAACUGUCAGGCUAGAGUGCAGGAGAGGAAGGUAGAAUUCCCGGUGUAGCGGUGAAAUGCGUAGAGAUCGGGAGGAAUACCAGUGGCGAAGGCGGUCUUCUGGACUGACACUGACGCUGAGGUGCGAAAGCGUGGGUAGCAAACAGGAUUAGAUACCCUGGUAGUC